UAGGGAAUCUUCGGCAAUGGACGAAAGUCUGACCGAGCAACGCCGCGUGAGUGAAGAAGGUUUUCGGAUCGUAAAACUCUGUUGUUAGAGAAGAACAAGGACGUUAGUAACUGAACGUCCCCUGACGGUAUCUAACCAGAAAGCCACGGCUAACUACGUGCCAGCAGCCGCGGUAAUACGUAGGUGGCAAGCGUUGUCCGGAUUUAUUGGGCGUAAAGCGAGCGCAGGCGGUUUCUUAAGUCUGAUGUGAAAGCCCCCGGGUCAACCGGGGAGGGUCAUUGGAAACUGGGAGACUUGAGUGCAGAAGAGGAGAGUGGAAUUCGAUGUGUAGCGGUGAAAUGCGUAGAUAUAUGGAGGAACACCAGUGGCGAAGGCGGCUCUCUGGUCUGUAAGUGACGAUGAGGCUCGAAAGCGUGGGGAGCAAACAGG
rnacentral:rRNA from 1 species